AUUAGCGUUAAUGGCAGCAAAGAAGCAAGUUUGAAGUUUUGAAUAAGUGCAAAAAGAAAAUAGACAAAAGCCAAAAUGAUAAAAAGAGAAAAAAAAGAGUAAAGCCACUUAAAUUUGAUAACCAAAAUUACACUCGCUAUGCUGUUAAAGGAACGGCGUUUGGUGAGACCAACACGUCUCUAUCUUCAAUUUCUCUCAGUUACUUUCACUUCAGCUAUGACAUCUGAUCUAAGGUAAUUUUGAAUCAUUGCAAUAGCGUUAUGAUGGAAACACACCUCAUCUAUGAACGCAAAUUUAAAUACUUAAGAAGAAGAAUAGAGAGAGAAAUGGAAAGAGGCAGGUGAAAGAGUAAUCAAAGAGAGAAAAAAAAAAAAAAAAGGAAAGAACAAAUCAUACAAUCCACACUUCCACCCAGCAUGGAAAAAUACUCGGUGUUGCCCAAAAUGAAAAUCAGUAUAAAAGGACCAGAAUUGUUCCGAAUGAAGGAGAGAAAAGACGAAAGUAAGAUAAAGGAAACAGCACCAAAUAUUUAAGAAUACAAUAUAACAUCAAAUAGACAACAAGAGAAAAGCAGAGAAUUUCUAAAGAUUUAAUUCUUGUUUUAGUAAAACAAUCAGUUCGAACAAGAAAACCUCUUGAAAAUUUUUCAGUAUCAUUGUUAUGAAACCAGAGAAGACAGGGAGCUGGCAGAAUCAUUAUCACGCUGGGCAAAAUGCUUAGCAGCAUUUCGUCCGUCUUCACGUUCUA
rnacentral:lncRNA from 1 species